rnacentral:misc_RNA from 1 species
AUUCUAGAUUUCUGGGGUGAAAACUCGGGGCCUAUGACCUGGAGGUUAACCCCUGCUGAGGUUAGGCGAGUGUUGGGUCUCAGGGUUGAUUUUAAACCCGAAGCAAUUGCUGCUCUCAAGUUGUAAGUCCAAAAUUGUCUCAAUUGUCGAAACCCAUUGGUCCAACUAACAGGCCAAGCGUCUAAUCAGGGGCUGUCAUCUUCUUAUCGUUCCCUUUAAUCCUGUGCUCGCAUGCUAGGACAUUCUUGUCAUCUUUUAUUGUUUGGUUUUUAUACAUAUUAUUUU